UUCGCAAUGCCCGAAAGGGUGACGAAGCGACGCCGCGUGGGUGAGGAAGGCCUUCGGGUUGUAAAGCCCUGUCAGGAGUUAAGAAAUGUAGGUACGCUAAUAUCGUGCCUAUUUGACAAAGGCUCCAAAGGAAGCCACGGCUAACUCUGUGCCAGCAGCCGCGGUAAUACAGAGGUGGCAAGCGUUGUUCGGAAUUAUUGGGCGUAAAGAGCACGUAGGUGGUUUUGUAAGUCAGAUGUGAAAGCCUUCUGUUCAAAGGAAGAACGGCAUCUGAAACUGCGAAUCUUGAGUGUAGGAGGGGAGAAUGGAACUUCUGGUGGAGCGGUGAAAUGCGUAGAUAUCAGAAGGAACGCCGGCGGCGAAAGCGAUUCUCUGGCCUAUUACUGACACUCAGUGUGCGAAAGCUAGGGGAGCAAACGGGAUUAGAUACCCCGGUAGUCCUAGCUGUAAACGAUGGGCACUAAGUAGAGGGGUUUU
rnacentral:rRNA from 1 species